UGGGGAAUCUUGCGCAAUGCGCGAAAGCGUGACGCAGCAACGCCGCGUGGGGGAAGAAGGCCUUCGGGUUGUAAACCCCUUUCAGUUGGGACGAAGCUUCGCCGGUUAAUAGCCGGCCGGAGUGACGGUACCUUCAGAAGAAGCCCCGGCUAACUACGUGCCAGCAGCCGCGGUAAUACGUAGGGGGCAAGCGUUGUCCGGAAUCAUUGGGCGUAAAGCGCGUGUAGGCGGUCCGGUAAGUCCGCUGUGAAAGUCGGGGGCUCAACCCUCGGAUGCCGGUGGAUACUGUCGGGCUUGAGUACGGAAGAGGCGAGUGGAAUUCCUGGUGUAGCGGUGAAAUGCGCAGAUAUCAGGAGGAACACCAAUUGCGAAGGCAGCUCGCUGGGACGUUACUGACGCUGAGACGCGAAAGCGUGGGGAGCAAACA
rnacentral:rRNA from 1 species